rnacentral:lncRNA from 1 species
AUGAGCCCCGAAGGAGAGGCGAGGACAGGAUGGGCACAGCAGAACGCCCUCCUGGGCCCCUCUGUCCGGCACCCUCCACUGAGGGCUCAGAGCUGCCGCGCAGACCGGCCCUCCAAGGCUGCCUAUUUUUGGGUGCCUGCUGGACACGAGGCUCAGCCUAUCGGGGUCCGGGCCUCCAGCCCAAGAAGCCAAGCUCUGAACUUCGUGUCGUGGGAUCUUUCUUCAGGGGCACUGCCUCAGCCUGCAGCCCCACCUUCUCCUCUACACAGCCCCACCGGGGGGUGUCGGGGGCUCACCCUGGCUCAGAAUCCCAGCCCACCAUUCCCCGCUGGAAGCCCUCAGGCCAUCUCCUUCCCUCCCAGGGGCUUGGGUCCCCUCCAGGGCUGCGGUGAACAGGCACCCGUGACACCCUGCCCCUCAGUGGCCACCUGUCUGGCAGAAGGGGUCCCAGGACUGCAGGUGCGCAGAGCGGCUGGACCAGUGGACAGGCAGGUCGGCCGGGCUGUGACUGGGCGGCCUGUGCUCGCCUCCUCAGGUCCUGCCUUUGGGGCCCAAGGCUCUGGGGCCCCCACAUGGGAGGGUGGGGUGUAUGGCUUUGGCUCAGAUGCCUCUUGGGGACGCCUUCCAAAACUGCCUUUGUGUAGGGAGGUAGGUGUGGCUGAAGGGUUCUCGAGAGUCAGACUUGUUUCUGCACUUCCUGCUGUGGGGGCAGGGGUGCUGCUAAGCAGCUGGGGUGCAGGCUCUGCCCCCGCUCUCAGCCCCCGUCUCACAGCCCGGCCAACCAUCAGCUGGUACGUGCAGUCCUGCGUGAAGCCAGGCGGUGGGGCAAUGAGCGUAGGCCAGGGCUUCCUGCUCCAGAGCCCACCGUGGCUCCCCGACCGGGUCCUGUCCUGCCCACCCCUCUGGGUGGGCUACUCCAAAAUGCCCCCGACCUUCAGGGCUGACACGGCCCUGCUCCCAAACCCCUGCCCCAGGACAAAUACUCGGGCCUCUCAGACCACACGCAGCCACACCUAG